rnacentral:lncRNA from 1 species
CCUGUCAGAAUCGGCAGAGAACACAAUCUUGAAAGAAACACCCGUCUGGAACGGAGAAAGUCGGCCUGAUCACCGAAACAAUAACGUCGACCUGUAUACCAAAAUAAAUGGUAACGCAGGGAUAACCAUGGCCUGAACACCACAUCCGCUGGGGAUUAUUAUUUCCUUUUUUAUCUUGAACCCCGAAAUUUUUUCCUUCUUUUUCAUUUUCAUUGUCUGAACCCCACCUCGGUCUGGAUACCGCCUCGGCCUGAACACCGGAAGA